rnacentral:rRNA from 1 species
GNGUGCUACCAUGCUNUCAGCGUCUCUUCGGAGAGAGCNUCNGACGGGUGAGUAACGCGUGGGUAACCUGCCCUGUACACACGGAUAACAUACCGAAAGGUAUACUAAUACGGGAUAACAUANGAAAGUCGCAUGGCUUUUGUAUCAAAGCUCCGGCGGUACAGGAUGGACCCGCGUCUGAUUAGCUAGUUGGUAAGGUAAUGGCUUACCAAGGCAACGAUCAGUAGCCGACCUGAGAGGGUGAUCGGCCACACUGGNAACUGAGACACGGUCCAGACUCCUACGGGAGGCAGCAGUGGGGAAUAUUGCACAAUGGGCGAAAGCCUGAUGCAGCAACGCCGCGUGAGCGAUGAAGGCCUUCGGGUCGUAAAGCUCUGUCCUCAAGGAAGAUAAUGACGGUACUUGAGGAGGAAGCCCCGGCUAACUACGUGCCAGCAGCCGCGGUAAUACGUAGGGGGCUAGCGUUAUCCGGAAUUACUGGGCGUAAAGGGUGCGUAGGUGGUUUUUUAAGUCAGAAGUGAAAGGCUACGGCUCAACCGUAGUAAGCUUUUGAAACUAGAGAACUUGAGUGCAGGAGAGGAGAGUAGAAUUCCUAGUGUAGCGGUGAAAUGCGUUANAUAUUAGGAGGGAAUACCAGUAGCGAAGGCGGCUCUCUGGGACUGUAACUGACACUGAGGCACGAAAGCGUGGGGGAGCAAAACAGGAUUCCUGGUAGUCCACGCCGUAAACGAUGAGUACUAGGUGUCGGGGGUUACCCCCCUCGGUGCCGCAGCUAACGCAUUAAGUACUCCGCCUGGGAAGUACGCUCGCAAGAGUGAAACUCAAAGGAAUUGACGGGGACCCGCACAAGUAGCGGAGCAUGUGGUUUAAUUCGAAGCAACGCGAAGAACCUUACCUAAGCUUGACAUCCCACUGACCUCUCCCUAAUCGGAGAUUUCCCUUCGGGGACAGUGGUGACAGGUGGUGCAUGGUUGUCGUCAGCUCGUGUCGUGAGAUGUUGGGUUAAGUCCCGCAACGAGCGCAACCCUUGCCUUUAGUUGCCAGCAUUAAGUUGGGCACUCUAGAGGGACUGCCGAGGAUAACUCGGAGGAAGGUGGGGAUGACGUCAAAUCAUCAUGCCCCUUAUGCUUAGGGCUACACACGUGCUACAAUGGGUGGUACAGAGGGUUGCCAAGCCGCGAGGUGGAGCUAAUCCCUUAAAGCCAUUCUCAGUUCGGAUUGUAGGCUGAAACUCGCCUACAUGAAGCUGGAGUUACUAGUAAUCGCAGAUCAGAAUGCUGCGGUGAAUGCGUUCCCGGGUCUUGUACACACCGCCCGUCACACCAUGGAAGUUGGGGGCGCCCGAAGCCGGUUAGCUAACCUUUUAGGAAGCGGCCGUCGAAGGUGAAACCAAUGACUGGGGUGAAGUCGUAACCAAGGUAA